rnacentral:lncRNA from 1 species
AUGAUCUGAGGCGACCCCUGAGGAAGAAUUGUUUGACCAUCCCUUCGGCUUGGAUGUCAGACUCCCGUUCCACUUCAUAUGUCAGCAUGUCAGUCAUUCGAGGAGUGUCUACAAGCAAGUGACAGAAGGAGGUUCAGCCCUAACUUAUCUAACCCUCUUCAGGCUGAAGACAAAAAGAUAAGACUAAGGUAUUUUACUAUCAGCCUGUAUAGCAUUGUUCCAGUAGGAACAUGCUGCGUAAAACAUUGUGGGAUUAGUGAGCAUCUGGGCAUCUUAAAUUUUGACUGGCAAUUGACUCUAACUUCAACAGACGAAGAUCCACCCUUCAUCCAGCUCUCCAGGAAUAACAGUAAUUGGUAAGCAUAUCCCUAAUUAAGGGAUGUAAUUGUAGUCAUCCAGGUCUAUGGCCAUACCGCCCUGAAUGUGCUGGAUCUCAUCUGAUGGUAGCUGUCCAUGCUCUUUUAAAAAGCCAUAUUAUAAAAAUUAAAACACUGUGGACAAUUUUCAGUAUUAGGUGUGUUUAGAGCUCAUCUAAGAGUCUCAGGUAAGCAGAAGCACCCCUCCCCGAAGCUGGCAACUGGCACCUGAUUUUCUUGGAAUUCUUAAAGAGCUAGAAAGUUGCUUGCAGUCUGCUACAUGACAGAACCCAAGAUCAGAAAAUGGAGCAGUAUCCAGCCCCAGGGUGAGGUAGAAUAAAGCAUUAGUCACAGACAGCUCCUGCUUAGGCUCUGAAACCUGUAAGGCAUCUGGAGAAUGCUGGAGUCUGGCUUCCUUGAACUGAGAACAUCAAAGGCAAUGAGAAAGACUGAGAGGUACCUCAUCCUCUGUCAGCCUGCGUCAUCUUCCAAGUCUGAGGGUUCUGCAGGCAGAGAGCCAGGCUGCACGCCACGAACCCGUGGCUACCGACUCACUUCUAACUUUUCUGAGUCCAGAGGUCUCCUUUUGAUCAAGAAGGCUUUAAAUAAUAAGAAAAUGGAACCCUGACACUAUUAGGUCGUUCUGGCUAUUGCUUCUA